rnacentral:rRNA from 1 species
AUUGAACGCUGGCGGCAGGCCUAACACAUGCAAGUCGAGCGAGCGGCGGACGGGUGAGUAAUGUCUGGGAAACUGCCUGAUGGAGGGGGAUAACUACUGGAAACGGUAGCUAAUACCGCAUACCAUCAGAUGUGCCCAGAUGGGAUUAGCUAGUAGGUGGGGUAACGGCUCACCUAGGCGACGAUCCCUAGCUGGUCUGAGAGGAUGACCAGCCCCACUGGGACUGAGACACGGUCCAGACUCCUACGGGAGGCAGCCGUGGUGAAUAUUGCACAAGGGGCGCAAGCCUGAUGCAGCCAUGCCGCGUGGCUGAAGAAGGCCUUAGGGUUGUAAAGCACUUUCAGCGGGGAGGCGUUACCCGCAGAAGAAGCACCGGCUAACUCCGUGCCAGCAGCCGCGGUAAUAC